AAAAAAAAGGGGCAAAACGAGCACUAUCAUCAGAUAAUCAUCAGAUAAUAUCGAACUUGAGUUGACUAAACUAUCUACUCAGCGCCACCACUGUCAUCAGAUGAUCAUUAUCCUAUUCUCAAACCUUACAAAAACCUUCCACUGGUUUCAGCAAUUUAUCUAAUCUUUCCCAAUUCCCAAACCCUCCAUGAAUUCUCAUCAUUAUCACCCAUCAAUUUACUACUAGUUUACUGCAAUUUGAAGCCUGUGUUGUUCAUCUUGCCUUUGCUUUGCUUUGCUGGGCAUAUCUCACAGUGAUUACACAAGGGUAGGAGCCAAAAUUUGUGAGCAAAUUACACUUUUCUUGAAACUAGUCAUUUGUUUUUCAUUCAAAAUCAUGGCGAGCGACGCUUCUAAAAGUAUCACUUUGAAGAUCCUUGUGGAGAAAGAGAAAAACCGAGUUGUUUUUGCUGAGUCAAAUAAGGAUUUUGUUGACGUUAUAUUCAGCUUCAUGACAUUACCUAUUGGAACUAUUGUUGAGCUCAUUCAUGAGCACUUAUUAAAGGGGGAGAUUGGUUGCUUGAACAACUUAUAUGAAAGUGUAGAAAAUCUUGAUGAGGAAUAUCUAAUAAGUGAGCACAAGGAGAUACUACUUCAUCCUCGAAGUGCAGCUGAAAUAUACCAUAGGAACCUAAAAAUAAAUUUGAUUGAAAGCAAUAGCAGGAGCAAAUAUUAUGUUUGUUUCGAUGCUGAUUGUAGUUUUCUCAGCUAUUACCAAACUUCAUGUUGCCGCUGUGGAAACCCCUUAGAACUUGAGGUAAAUCUGUCAAAUCCGGUUUCUCAAGAUGGAGGGGUGUUUGUAAAACCAACUGCCCGCUUUAUGAUAACGGAUGACUUUAAAGUAUUGCCUCUGUCCACCAUGGCUGGCUUAUCUUUGCUUAGCAAUUUCAGAACAAUGGAUGAUAGCAAACUAGAGGAGAGAACUGUGAACAUAGGAAAGAAUGAGGUUCUGAAAUUGCUGAAGUGUUCAUUAACAUCAAGGACACCCCUGUCUGACACCAUUAUGGAACCACCCAUCAGUAAGACUAGUUUCACGUUUCGCCGUGGAAAAUAUGGACCGAGGAGUACAUGUCGAUCUCAAAAAGUUAAGGACACCAAAAAUGUGGAUACAAAGACAAACUUGAAGCUUAUCAUCAACAAAUCUAACAAUAGAGCAUUGUAUGCAGAAGUUGAAGAAAAUUUUGUUGAUGUCCUAUGUAGUUUCCUUGCAUUUCCAAUCGGGUAUGUCUUUAAAGAGUUCUCGUCUUUGUCCUUCAAGGGAUGCAUGGGUAACUUAUUCAAGAGCAUCCAAGAUACCAACAUCAAUAAGUUCUUCAAAUCUGAGGAGAUGAAGGACAUUGUAGUCAAUCCAAAAGUAGCCCCUGGUCUUGCUUGUGGCAACAAACUAAUUGGCAUUGAGGAAGCUGUAAACCCAUCAUUCUCAACUCUUUCUUCCUUGUUUACAACGAAAUGCUCUGAUUUGAAUUCAAACUCCCUUAUCGGGGAAGUAAAAAUUGGCGGUGGAUUUAUGAAAGGGCCAUCCAUGUUCAUGGUGACAGAUAAUUUGUCCAUAACACCUUUAUCUCCUAUCUCAGGUAUAUCUCUUAUCAACAAAUUAAAGGUACCCCUCAGUGAUGUUGAGGAAUUGGAGGUGACCAUGGGUGAGGAGGAGGUAAAUGAACUACUGUCAAGUUAUUUCUAGGGCUUUGCGUCUAUUGGUAGCUUCUUUGGUAUCAAGAUCAGCUUUGACAGAUGCUUUCAUGAUUAAGGAGACAAAGCAAGAGCCAUUAGGAAAUGAUCCUUGCAUGAUGUGAGUUUUGUGAAAGCUUGGAGCAUGUUUGAAAACCCAAGUUACUGUGUGUUGUUGUGACCUUGUAUAUGUGUAAUGGAUGUAAUCUUGUUUUACAUCUUUGAUGAUCACUGUUGUUUAUUUGAGGUCCAAGGAUGUUAAGACUUGUUGUGUUUAUGUAUCUAAUGUGGUGCCAUAAAUAUUUGUAUAUAUUUGCUCUGAUGGAGGUUUGUGAUUGGACAAUUUGUAUUUCUUUUAUUAUAUAAUUAUGACUAUUGCCCACAGCUCAA